rnacentral:rRNA from 1 species
GACGAACGCUGGCGGCGUGCUUAACACAUGCAAGUCGAACGGAAAGGCCCUGCUUUUGUGGGGUGCCCGAGUGCCGAACGGGUGAGUAACACGUGUGUAACCUGCCCUUGAUUUUGGGAUAACUUCAGGAAACUGGGGCUAAUACCGGAUAGGAGCUCCUGCUGCAUGGUGGGGGUUGGAAAGUCUCGGCGGUCGGGGAUGGACUCGCGGCUUAUCAGCUUGUUGGUGGGGUAGUGGCUUACCAAGGCUUUGACGGGUAACCGGCCUGGGAGGGUGACCGGCCACCUUGGGACUGAGGUACGGCCCAGACUCCUACGGGAGGCAGCAGUGGGGAAUAUUGCACAAUGGGCGGAAGCCUGAUGCAGCAACGCCGCGUGCGGGAUGACGGCCUUCGGGUUGUGAACCGCUUUCGCCUGUGACGAAGCGUGAGUGACGGUAAUGGGUAAAGAAGCACCGGCUAACUACGUG